UAUUCCUUCGAUUUUCACCACGGAGGACAAAUCCAAUGCUAGGAACGCCAGAAAUGUGAAAUAAAGCACGGCGUGGACGGGGGAUCGGGGUCCUACAGCGGUACCUGUGGGGGUCUCUGGACCCGGAACCAUUAGGCAGACAGGAAACUCCCAUUUUAACGGCGGCGGCAGCGGCCGUCCAGACGGGGCGCCUCACACACUGACACGGGGCGGAGAACACUCCGCCGCUGGAGAAAGACGAGAAAAAAACACACGGACCGACGGAAAACACGAGGUUCGGCGGAAACGGAGAGUACGCGAUUCGAGCACACGGAGCCGGGACUCGAACCAUGGACCGAUCGGGGCCCAGUGGGCGGAAACACUAGUUUUAGCGAGCGAGCGGAACGCAGCCCUCCUGGGUCGAUGGAGUCGGAGGCCUCACUGGGUGUGGAGAGCAGGCCCCGCUGACACGCUGCGAGCCCCCCGACCUCACGGUGCCCCGGCCCGGCCUGGCCUCCGCUGCUGCAUCCUCCCACCGCCCGUCGUCGAGCGCCGCCGUGAGAUCAGGCUGCAGACCCCCGGAGCUGGUUGUCGAGGGAGACGAGAGAGUGUAAGGCCCUGUGAUUGGUCCUCUCUCAGAAGAGGAGGAGCCACUGGUCAUCGCGGUGGGCCCUGAGACGCCUCUCCAACACUACACGCUGCCCUCCAGCCCGCCCCCCCCAGCUCAGCCUGUCCAACACUAACCUCACCGGCCCCAGAGUCCCUGCGCC
ensembl:lncRNA